GACUAUCAAAAUAAAACAGGAAGUAACAAACACAGCGAUGAAGACUAAGACAUGUAGCAGGAGAUAAAUAAGCAGAGAAAUGACUGACUGGGGAGACAGAAAGGGAACACAAAAGUGAUAACUAAACAUAAUCACAUAAGCAACCAUAAACCAGCAGUACAGAAAAUAAAAAUCAGAUGCACGAGGAGCAAAGAACAAAUAUGGAGCUCAAACACAAAAUUCAUCUUAACCAAGAAGGAACCCAAAAGACUACAGAACAGGAGAACAGAACUAUGAUACAAGAACAAACAAAAAAUAAAUAACAGAAAUCCCCCAAAACUCAAAAUAAUGACUAGUUUCAAAACUGAGUGAUAAAAUGGAGAUAAAAUAAAAUGGAGACAAAUAAGACUUAGAAGAGAGAAAGUGACAGAAAUAAGAAGAUAAUUUGCUCACUGAGGAAGAUGAAGCAGACCAAAGUGUGUUUCAUCUCAGAGCUCUGAGCUCUGAUGGUUUAAUGCUGCUUCUCUUCUUCACGCACGCCUUCACGCCUUCAAAUCUCUCUCUCCCUCUCUCUCUCUCUCUCACACACACACAAACACACACACACACACACACACACUCCUGCUCUCUCACCAGUCUUGGUGAGUGAUGCGAUCCUACUACAAGGCAGAUAAAUCCCCGCAGUCUGAGUGUGUGCAGGUCUGGAUCCUGGAGAUCACGCUGGAAGGAUCCAUCUAGUGGAAUCACUGGACUCUCUUCAUGGAGCUCAUGGCUCAGUAAAACAGCUGACAGACACGGAGCAUCGUUGAUCACAUGAAAACGGAACCUGUGCGAUUUUACCGCCUUCUACCGAACAUUUAUCUGACCGUUCGGGGCCAAUGACUCUCAAAAACAUUUUAUCAGAAAUUGGUUUUAGUUGCCUGCCUUAUACUAUCUGAUAAGACCAGCUGCGACCUCAACAAACAGGAAGUCAAACAUGCCAUUGAUAUAGUUCACCAAACUGAGGUCUCCAACAGACUGUUUGACACUGCUGUGAAGUCUUGUGUCAGGACACUAGUGGAAGAUCGAAGUACUGCAGGUUUGUAUAUUUCUUUUCUAGCCUCUGAUGGAAGGAGGUUGCAGAAACACUUCCUAUUGAGCCGCAGUUGUUUUACACUUUGCGUUUUAGUGUCACA
rnacentral:lncRNA from 1 species